rnacentral:rRNA from 1 species
GAUGAACGCUGGCGGCGUGCUUAACACAUGCAAGUCGAACGAAGCACUUUAUUUGAUUUCCUUCGGGACUGAUUAUUUUGUGACUGAGUGGCGGACGGGUGAGUAACGCGUGGGUAACCUGCCUUGUACAGGGGGAUAACAGUUGGAAACGGCUGCUAAUACCGCAUAAGCGCACAGCAUCGCAUGAUGCAGUGUGAAAAACUCCGGUGGUAUAAGAUGGACCCGCGUUGGAUUAGCUAGUUGGUGAGGUAACGGCCCACCAAGGCGACGAUCCAUAGCCGACCUGAGAGGGUGACCGGCCACAUUGGGACUGAGACACGGCCCAAACUCCUACGGGAGGCAGCAGUGGGGAAUAUUGCACAAUGGGCGAAAGACUGAUGCAGCGACGCCGCGUGAGCGAAGAAGUAUUUCGGUAUGUAAAGCUCUAUCAGCAGGGAAGAUAAUGACGGUACCUGACUAAGAAGCACCGGCUAAAUACGUG